GAUGAACGCUGGCGGCGUGCCUAAUACAUGCAAGUCGAGCGAACAGACGAGGAGCUUGCUCCUUCGACGUUAGCGGCGGACGGGUGAGUAACACGUAGGUAACCUACCUAUAAGACUGGGAUAACUUCGGGAAACCGGAGCUAAUACCGGAUAAUAUGUCGAACCGCAUGGUUCGAUAGUGAAAGAGGGCUUUGCUGUCACUUAUAGAUGGACCUGCGCCGGAUUAGCUAGUUGGUAAGGUAACGGCUUACCAAGGCAACGAUACGUAGCCGACCUGAGAGGGUGAUCGGCCACACUGGAACUGAGACACGGUCCAGACUCCUACGGGAGGCAGCAGUAGGGAAUCUUCCGCAAAGGGCGAAAGCCUGACGGAGCAACGCCGCGUGAGUGAUGAAGGUCUUCGGAUCGUAAAACUCUGUUAUUAGGGAAGAACAAACGUGUAAGUAACUGUGCACGUCUUGACGGUACCUAAUCAGAAAGCCACGGCUAACUACGUG
rnacentral:rRNA from 1 species